rnacentral:lncRNA from 1 species
AGCACAUUCACCUGACAAGGAGCUGGCCGCAGCCUCCGCUGCCAAACGGUGACGGUGCUGGCUGGUGCCCCCAGGAGCUGUUCACCACCUCCCGGGCUAAUGGCGCUUGCUGCCUGGCACACAGCAGGUGACUACACUGCAUGGCUUAUAAAUGUGGCCUCUGCCAGGAAAUCCUGGGAAAGAGCCAGGGAGGUGACGUUUUAUCCACGAGCCUGCUAUGGCUUAGCCUAGCCCUCCCCUAACUGUGACCAAGCUCUGGAUGAGACACAGACAACUACUGAGGACCUGCAAAGUAAGGAGACUGCAGGGCGGAGGCGGAACUUGGAGGAGUGACCUGCCGUGGAGUUUCUGGUUUCCUCCUUGUGGCUUUGUCUGGAGGGCAAGCCCCACUCUCAGAUCCACAUGGCAACACAAGCAGCUAAAACGCAGAUAGAAACCCCAACCUGGGAAAAGGAGUCCUACAGCAACUUUUCAGAAGCUUCAGAAGAAGGACGCCGGAGAAUGCCCGCCCGGGACUCCGAGGUGCCCUGUGCUCAUGGAUUGGUCCUCCUGGCUCCAUGAGUGUGAGUGAGUGUCUGCAGGUCCCUGGCACAAAAGCUGCAGUGCUGAGCAGGUGGCUAAUGGCCCUGGCUGGGUGAUUUUGGACAAGUCACCUUUGCCUCUCUGGCCUCCAUUGUCCCUCUGUCAAACAGGCCCCACGACAGCAAGCGUUGGUUAUUGUGUCUAUGGUCAACAUCCCACCUGCCUUUCUGGGCAGAGACGUUUGGGAGCAGUGGCUGUAUCCCUGAGCACGUCGUAAGGGCACUUUCCUGCAUGCCCUGGCUGGAGGGACCUGUUGCUGGGAAAACUCCCCAGAGUGUGAACCGGCGGCGGCUCCACCAUCUGGGUGCCGUGGGCAUGGUGCAUGGCGGGAAGGAGGCCGGCACCACAGAAGGGUGGCAGCUGUCCCCGGAAGGCUCUCCCCUGAGGGCGCCCAGGGCUCCACCGCUAGCCAGCCAUCUCCUUGCAGUAAGGCACGUUUCCUCCAGAUCCUCUCGGAACUGCCGGGAGUGGCUGCCCCACCCGCCCAGCUCUCCCUGGGUCCUGCCAGGCAGGGAAGCGUGAACCGAGACGGGCUCGGGAUGGCUCUCAGGCCCUCCCUGCUCUCAGCACCAAGGGAGGCACCCAGAGACUGAUCUGUGGGGGCAACGGAGACUCCGGGUCCCCCCACCAGGAUACGUCCCCUUUCUUUGCAUCUGAUGCUGACACACACAUACGAGGAGCCCAGAGGCAGAAACGGGACUCAGAGCCUGACGCUGAGGCUGGUGUGUGGGGCUGCCUCUCCCAGUGCUGAGGCUGGCGUGUGGGGGCUUCCUCUCCCGACACUGAGGCUGGCGUGUGGGGCUGCUUCUCCCGACGCUGAGGCUGGCGUGUGGGGCUUCCUCUCCCGACGCUGAGGCUGGCGUGUGGGGCUUCCUCUCCCGACGCUGAGGCUGGUGUGUGGGGCGGCCUCUCCUGGUGCUGAGGCUGGCAUGUGGGGCGGUCUCUCCCGACCUUGAGGCUGGCAUGUGGGGCUUCCUCUCCCGACGCUGAGGCUGGCGUGUGGGGCUUCCUCUCCCAACCUUGAGGCUGGCAUGUGGGGCUUCCUCUCCCGACGCUGAGGCUGGCAUGUGGGGCGCCCUCUCCCGACCUUGAGGCUGGCAUGUGGGGCUUCCUCUCCUGACCUUGAGGCUGGCAUGUGGGGCUUCCUCUCCCGACGCUGAGGCUGGCGUGUGGGGCGGCCUCUCGGGAGCAGGCGGCCUCGGGGAUCCUGGGGGUCAGCAGCCCCUCCACAGCUGCACCUCCCGGGACUGACCCUGCAGAACCCACCUCCCGCCAGCCCCUCCACAGCAGGACAGCACCCGCCUCCUUUUCCAAGGCCGCCUCGCCCAGUGGAGGCUGCAGCUCUACUGGGUGUGAGUCAGGAGGAAACGCUCGCAGCCAACACAGGCAGGACACGCCCACGUGACAUCGGAUCCCACGGGGAGGAGUCCACUGGGCAAAUCUGAACAAUGUGGGGGAAGAUAUUGAUGAGAUGUUAAACAUAACCCAUAGAAGAAGAAUCUACAAGUCCGUACUGACGUAAAUAAAUAAACAGGCAUUGGGGAGAGACAGCUUUUCCUUACCAUAGAAUUCCAACUCAGCCGCAGAAUCCUGGUGGGAACCGUCAUCAAAGUCAACGGGAGCAGACACCACCAAACCCCAGAUCAAAGUCAGCAUCGCCAGCAACGGGCACACGGACACCAGGAAACUCCAUCAGCAUUGCUUUUGCUGUAUUCUUGACAAAAUUGUACAGUUUAAUUUUUUUUCUUUUUUCUUUCCUUUUUUUUUUUAGAGAUGGGGUCUCACUGUGUUGCCCAGGCUAGAGUACAGUGGUGUGAUCACAGCUCACUACAGCCUUCCGUGGCUGGGACUACAGGCACACACCACCACAUCUGGCUUGUUUUUUUGUUGUUGUUCUUGUUUUACUGUUUACUUUGUAGAGAUGGGGUGUAGCUAUAUUACCCAGUCUUGACUUCUGGCCUCAAGUGAUCCUCCCACCUUGGCCUCCCAAAGUGUUGGGAUUACAGAUGUGAGCCACUGUGCCCAGCUGUAUAAGUGGAAUUUAAUUAUGAGGAAAUCUACAGUGAAUCCAAAUUAAGGGAUAGUCCACAAAAUAACUGACAAUAUUCUUUAGAAGUGUCAAUGUCAUGAAAAAACAAAGACUGAGGAUUCGUCCCAGAUUGAGAGACUAAGGGGCCACGAGGACUAAACACAACAUGGGACCCUGGACUAGGAAAGGGUGGUGAGUGGGACGGUCAGCAGGGGUGAGCGGGACGGUCAGCAGGGGUGAGUGGGAUGGUCAGCAGGGCGUGCAUGAGGGGUUUGCUGGGUGAUCCUGUUGUAUCAGUGGCCAUUCUCUGAUCAUUGUACAAUUGAUCACUAUCCUCAAAGCUAACUUUUUUUUUUUUUGAGACGGAGUUUCACUCUGCCACCCAGGCUGGAGUGCAGUGGCGCCAUCUCAGCUCACUGCAGCCUCCGCCUCUUAGGUUCAAGUGAUUCUCCUGUCUCAGCCUCCCAAGUAGCUGGGACUACAGGCACCUGCCACCACACUUGGGGAAAUUUUUGUGUUUUUAAUAGAAACGGGGUUUCACCAUGUCGACCAGCCUGAUCUCAAACUCCCGACCUCAGCUGAUCCACCCACCUCGGUCUCCCAAAGUGCUGUGAUGAGUGCCCGUGAGCCACCGCGCCCAGCCUCAAAGCUAACUUUUGGGGACGUUGGAUGAAGAGUCCACAGGAACUUUUCUACUGUUUUUGCAACUUGUUAAAACCCUGUAAUUACUUCAAAAUGAAAAGUUAAAAAAUGAUCUUUUAAAAAAGAGUUAAUACUUGCAGUAUAUAAAGGACUCUUGAAAAUCAA